UCUAUCUUAUAGGCUUAUCUGCAGGCAGAGUCUUCAGCCUUGGUUCUGUUUCUACCUGAGGUAAGAUAAUUAUUAGGGGCAUUGUGCAUUUCAGGAUGGUAACAGUACCUCUCGCCUCUAAGUACCAGAUGCCUUUUGCAAUCAGCUCCUUGCCUCCCGUGCUUUAAUAGGUAUCUCCAGAUGUUGUCUUGGAAUCAAAUUCCUGCUCUAGAGGGGAAUUACUGCUAAAGAGCGACGUCCAAGAUUAGCUGCUUGCUGGGCUGCAGAUCUCACUAAAAGCUCUAGCCCACCAUACACAGAGCUCUGGGUUCACUCUUCAGCCUUACAUAAAGUGGAUGUGAUCCCAGGCAUAUGCAGUAGAGGCAGAGCCAUCAGCAGGCUCAAGGUGACACAUGAGAUAUAAGGCCCUUCCAUCUUAGAAACAAAACAGAAGACAAACAAAGAGAAUCUGGGAACUGAGAGAUAUCUCCCUUACAUGCAACCACCACUAUAAACAUGGCAUUUGUCAGACUUAAAGUAAACGCUUCGGGGAGGAAGAGCUGGGUCCUUAGACUGCUUUUGAAGGGAGUACUCCAGGGACCAUUGCUGUCCUAACCCUUAUUCCCUCCAACUUGUGAAAGAGUGCCCAGUACCAUGCUUCCCAGGCCUCUCUGAGCAUUUAUCCACAGAGACCUUAAGAGAGCUCACCAGGACACACUUGGGAGCCCCCUCUUGGUUAAGUGUGAAAGCCACUGGUGGUGAUAUUGUUUAAGAUUUCCUCUGGUUAUCCUGGCAUGCCACCACUGUGGGCUCACCUAGGAUAUUGGUGAUGAUGGUAAGUAAGCAAGCACAUAGCUACUCUUUGCAGCUGUCUGAUUCUCUCUAGAUUAUAUUCAAUCAUUUCAAUGCAACCUGACCCAGUCUCUGUGAGCUAUACUUUCUGUUUGGGGAGGAAGAGACAGGCUCAGGAACUUGAAUAACAUACCCCAGUGUGUGCACAGGGCUCUAGGCUUCCCACACAGGCUGCUGGAGCACCUUACCAUUGUGCUGUCUUCUAUCUCUAUUAAUAUUUGACCUCCAAGGAUUUAGAAAGAGAGACACACAUAGAUGCACAGGGAACAGAUUUUUCUGGAAACAGCUGGAAUUUCUGUAGAUCCCCGAGUCCAGGAUUUUCCUCCAGAAAGUGGACCAACAGAGCAUUUAGGCGUCAAGUUAAUCUUGUCUUAUCUCAGAGUCUCACAGGGCCUUAAACAGGGAAUGGAGGCUACAGGACCGCCUGAGGGAGAGUUUCAUAAAAAAAAAAAAACGAUAUUUUUACCGUGCUACAAAGAACAUUUCCCUCCUUAAAUAUGCAAAGCCACUGCAGCAAAUAUCACGAACUCAUUCUGGUGAUGCAGGCGGGCGACACUUAAUUAUCAGCUCCACCAGCAAAUUAGUACAGGAAUCUGAGUCUUCCCCGAGGAAUUCAUGGGCCUGACAGGAAGCUGAGGUGAAGAACUCGGAGAGAGGUGGUGGAUGGGAAGCAAACAAAAUAUGUGAAAAUGUUCUCCAUUGGUGUCUCUGGCGUGUGGCCGUCUCAGCACGGGGACUUCAAGGAACCCCAAAUACCGAAGUCAUAUGAUACAGAGCUUGCACGGAUACUGCACAAAGAUGACAUGCAGAUUCAGGAAGCACUCCACAUUUUUUUUUUAAAGAUUCUCCUGGGUGCGAUGUAGAUUCUACCUGUACUAGGUACUUGCUUCCAGUCUUGAUGACUUGAGUUUGAUGCCCGGAUCCAUGUGAUGGAAAGGGAAAGCCAACUCCUGCAAGUUGUCCUGUGACUACUCGUGGAUGCUGCAGGGUGGCCUUUGCUGGAUGGUACACAGAUAUUUAAAAGCAGGAAUUGAGUACUGAUUGCAGUAGCUUUGGAGGAUGGAUGCUCUGUCUGACUUUCUUAUGAUGCUCCUGGAAGAUGAGACCCUCUAGGAAGAAGCCUCUGCUUCCCACUGCUGGAUUGUGAUGGAUCUCAUUCGUGCUUGUCUCACUCCUGGAACAAAACCUCUGACCGGAGCAACUUAAGGAAGGGAAUGUGAAAAGCUAUGCUGACAGGGGAGGUCUCAGUCUGUGGAGCUUACAUUCAGGGCGGGCCUUCCCACCUUAGUCUAACCACUCUACUCUCGGAAGAGUAUCUCCUACUGCAUCAGAAAGCCAACCAAAUGAUCCAUCCGGCAAUAUUAUGACAACAGAUUUAUCCAAAGGAUAUCAGUGUACCAGUCCACAUUCGCUGCCGCAGUAUCUAAACCAGCAAGACAUGUAACCAAUGGAUGAAAUGCAGAAAAAGAUGGCAUACACAUGAUUCCAUGUAUAUAUAGCACAUAUACAUAGCUACAAAGUAGCACUGUUCAGCCUUUAAAACAUAAAGAAAUCUCAUCUCUUCCGGCUUUAUUUAUGUUGCGUCAAUUAAACACACCAGCCCAACAACUCAGGACAUGAAGGGUUUAUUUGGCAACUUCACAACUGCAGUCCAUUAUUUCUGGGGAGUCCAGUCAAGAACUCAAGUUGCUGAUCACACCAUAUCCACAGUCAAGAGCGGAGAGGCAUGAGUGCACCAUGCUGCAUCUGGCUCUCUCCUGUCUCAUUCAGCUCAGGAGCCUCUGCCUAGGGAGUGACGCCACCCGCAAAGGGCUGGGUCUUCCCGCGUCAAUUAAAAAUGAAGACAAUUCCCCACACGCAUGCCCACAGACAAACCUAAUCUGGGCAGUUCCACAAAUGAGACUGUCUUCUUGGCUGCUCCUAGGUUGUGUCAAGUUGACAGUUAAAACUAAGGAGGACUCCGUCUUUCUUGAUUGACUAACCAGGGUGGACCAGAAAAACGUGAUACUAAGCGAUUAAGUACUACUUGGCUCUUCACACUUUGGAUGUCCUAGAAGGGGGUCAGACACCCAACCACACAGUCUGCAUUGACUCCCUCGAGUGUGAGUCAACUAAGAGUCACCUCUGUUUCACAGUUCAAGGAUCUCUGAGAACUCUGAAGACCCCACGAUUAUCCAUAGUGAGGGAUGUUGAGUCCCAGGGCUCAGAAUGUCGGCAGCUCUAGACAAACAUUCAGUUCUCUGUUUACAGUGCGUGUGGAUGCCCCUUCACUGGCCUUGAAGUGCAGAGGCAGGUCCAGCUUACACAGGUUCUACAUGGUCCUGAUGAAGAAGUUAUCACAGCAUGGUAGGCACCCACAGAUUAUCUCUCUCCAGCGCUAACAACACCCCCAAUCCCCCUUCUUCCCUCUUCUUUAUCUCCUGUGUCUCCACUGUUGAAGAGCCAGGGAGACUCCAGUGUCAUGGACUGGGUGUUAAUAUGUAGCUUCUUGGUGAUCCUGCAUAUUGAAAUCCCUCCUUAAAGAGAUGAUAAAUUCUAAAGUGAGAAAGGAUGCCAAGCUGGCCUACAUAAAGCAGGAGCUUAAGGGAAGGGCAGGAGAUGUCACCAGAGAUAACCUGCAACUUGUUUAACCACAGCUGUAUGCUCAGGGUCUUCUGGCAUCUCCAUGAGCGACUAACUCUGCCUUCUUUGGUACCUCUUAAGGGCUAUUUCCAGUACAAAAUGACCAUUCUAACACCUAGCUAGCCCUCAGCCCACCCACUACCCAAGCAUGUACAAACAAGAUGUACUAUUUCUGUAUCCACAGGCUUGCCUCCCUUCUCUCCCUGCUUUUUAAAUCCUGCUCUGGUCUCUGGCCUUUGGCUUCAUCUUUAAUCCAACUCCUCAAACAUGAGAAGCCUUUAUAUGUUCAAUAAAGUAGCAAUAAGUAGCAUGGAGCCCACGCACAGAAAAGCUGCAUUAUUCUUUGAUGGUCCCUCCUCCUAGGGAGGCAGGGAAACUUCUGUGGAGUGAUAUCUUGUAGACAACUGUGACAGAGGCUGCUAGCUGUUCCCGAUAUCCUCAGUGUCCCCUCACAUACUCGGUCAAUUCUGUUUCUUAGGCACAGGAGCUUGUGUAGAAAGACUUUCCCUCUACCCUCUGAGCGCUUGAUACCCAAGUGCAUGAGGUGACUGCUAAAAGACAGAUUGGCAGCUGAGACAGAACUCAUGGCUCAUGGUUGUCACAGGGAUGGAAGUCAAUACCUAUAAAACCAGAGGGAUUUAGAAACUCUAAAACCUUGUCACUUAGGCAGGGGUGGUGGCACACAUCUUUAAUCAUCCCAGCAUUUGGGAGGCGGAGGUAGGCCGACCAUUGAGUCUGAGGCCACUCUGGUCUACAGAGUGAAUUC